UACGUAGGGUGCGAGCGUUGUCCGGAAUUACUGGGCGUAAAGAGCUCGUAGGUGGUUUGUCGCGUUGUUCGUGAAAUCUCACGGCUUAACUGUGAGCGUGCGGGCGAUACGGGCAGACUGGAGUACUGCAGGGGAGACUGGAAUUCCUGGUGUAGCGGUGGAAUGCGCAGAUAUCAGGAGGAACACCGGUGGCGAAGGCGGGUCUCUGGGCAGUAACUGACGCUGAGGGGCGAAAGCGUGGGGAGCGAACAGG
rnacentral:rRNA from 1 species